rnacentral:tRNA from 1 species
GGCCUAGUGGCCUAAUGGAUAAGGCAUCAGCCUUCGAGCUGAGGAUUGUGGGUUCGAGUCCCAUCUGGGUCA